rnacentral:rRNA from 1 species
AUUGAACGCUGGCGGCAUGCUUUACACAUGCAAGUCGAACGGUAGAGGGGGCAACCCCUUGAGAGUGGCGAACGGGUGAGUAAUGCAUCGGAACGUGCCCAGUCGUGGGGGAUAACGCAGCGAAAGCUGUGCUAAUACCGCAUACGCUCUCUGGAUGAAAGCGGGGGACCGAAAGGCCUCGCGCGAUUGGAGCGGCCGAUGUCAGACUAGGUAGUUGGUGGGGUAAAGGCUCACCAAGCCAACGAUCUGUAGCUGGUCUGAGAGGACGACCCGCCAGAGUGUGACUGAGAGACGGCCCAGACUCCUACGGGAGGCAGCAGUGGGGAAUUUUGGACAAUGGGCGCAAGCCUGAUCCAGCAAUGCCGCGUGCAGGAAGAAGGCAUUCGGGUUGUAAACUGCUUUUGUACGGAACGAAAAGGUCUGGGUUAAUACCCUGGGCACAUGACGGUACCGUAAGAAUAAGCACCGGCUAACUACGUGCCAGCCGCCGCAGUAA